GAACGUAUGGCUUGGGUGAUCAGAGCGCUUGGAUGGUUUCCAACAGGUGCGGGUUCAAAUCCCGCUACGUAAA
rnacentral:tRNA from 1 species